AGCACAAUACGAUGCAGUACAAUUAUUUAAUUUAUACCCUAGGACAGUCUUCUUUAUAUUCAUUUACCAUAGUUUAGUGUAUUAGUAGUUUUAGCAGUGCUUGCGGGUGAAGUUGUUGUGUGUGUGCAAGCUUUUUGUGUUUAGCUAUCGACUUAAAAAAUUAUGCUUGUACAGGCCGCCUGCCACGCGGCUUUAUGCUUUCUGAUAUUUGCCACAUCUCUUCCUCUCCCAAUUCAUACUCAAAGUUAUCAAAGAAGCGUAUAAUGCGUUCGUUGCGCUUGAAAUUGUACUCACUGUGGGCAAAGAAGGAGAGGGAUAAGAAAGAUAAAAAAAUAUGGUAUUGCUGCCAACGUUUGGAGAAAUUAACCACACCUUCUUUCAAAUAGUCUGGGUUGCCAACAUGUACGAAUGUUAAGUCCUGCAGCACCAAUCCACU